GUCUUGGCGGUUGGCUUUGGGAGGUGUUGAGAUCUGCAGGGAGGCCCACGAUCUUAGCGCUGAUGGCCCCACGGCGAGAUCACGGCGUGUGAAGUGGCGCUAAAGGUGGAAGAUGCCUGGAAGGAGUCUGGGUCAGAAGCCUUACUAGCUUCUGAGUUUGGUUCAAUAAACUUGUAUCGU